rnacentral:sRNA from 1 species
CGCGUGUUUCGGCGCCGUAGAGGCGGGCGCGGCGGCGGGCGCGGAGGAUGCGGAGGGCUACGCCUGCGCUUAGGUGGGUGAGGACGGGUAGAGUGAGCAGAAAAGGUUCGAGGGCGGGGGACUGAUAGAGGGGUCGCGUGAGUAGGAGGUAGGGUUCAGCGGCUGUAAUGGAGUUGGUCAUGAGGGGGAUUAGAGAGGUGUUUGUUAGGUGGAGGGUUAGGAAGAAUGUGGGCGCGUAGGUCGAGGUUCUCUGAAGGAUGGACACUGAUAAGUUUUUUUUACGGUUAGAUAGGAUUCUUUUUCUUUCUUCCCCCCACAAGCUCCAGGCAACUAUAGCAAAGGGUAUACGUACGCCAGUACUCCCAACCCUUCCCGCUUAGCCCUACAUGUCGAAUGGGGUCAUGUCGAUGUGCAUUCUCUCCUUCAUACCUUCCUUCACCAGCGGCUUUUCCGCUGGCGGUGGAGGCGUUCGGCAGGUUUCCGCCCUGUUCCAAGUCUAGUGUCCAGUCGAGAGGUGACGGCUCGAGCUGUUGAAGCGAAUCUGUCCCCGAAUCUUCAGAUAUUGCAUAGCUAUCCGCACCACGUCGUCGCCCUGAUGCUGCGCGGUAUGGUCGGUCCAUCGAGCGUUUGCUUGGUGUACAAUGUUAUGACAUUGGCUGUGUAGAGAUAUCCGUGGGAGAAGUACGGGAAAUGAGGUGUAUCUAUAGACUUCUCUAUACAGGCAAAGAAGGCAACGUGCAUCUAAUAGAAUAAUCGAGUAUCGUUGAGCCGUUGAAGCAAGUUGAACCCGGAAGCAGCUGCGGCUUCACCUGUUUUCACCGCCUUUGCUGGUCUGCCGGCAGAAUAUACUUGAUAGCUUCAAGCUCUACAGCGAAGGAAGGACUCAAAGAAUCCCAAAGAACACUGCGUCGUGCUAUAUAUUUAUAUAAACCAUGCCACCCUACCCUCCACAACGCCAAACAGCCCGAUAAUUAUCAAAUAAGGAAAACAAACAAAGGCAACAAUGCCACCAGUUCGUGUCCCCUACCUAACCCCCUCUUAAAAAUUAGAAAUAAAAAUAAAAAAAACCCCAGCUAACCAGCCCCAACCCUUCCCAAACGCACACAAGAAACAGCGCAGCUUCACCAACCCAUCCCCCAAAACGGAAUCCGCCCGCAACGCCCUGACCUCCUUCACCUGCACGCUCUGCAGCAAAUCCUACUCGCGCCACCCGGAAUAUGAAGCGCACAUCGGCUCCUACGACCACC